rnacentral:ncRNA from 1 species
AAAGUAGGUUCUUAAAUAAGAUUAAUAGGGAAAAAGGUUGAAAGCCUUUGCAGCCCCCGCUACUGUAAGAUUGACGAAACUAUAAACUACCACUGCUAAUUUGGCGGGAAGGUAUAGGAGUAGGAUGAUAUUGAGCCAGGAGACCUGCCUAAUUUUGA